rnacentral:rRNA from 1 species
AACGAACGCUGGCGGCAUGCCUAACACAUGCAAGUCGAACGAGACCUUCGGGUCUAGUGGCGCACGGGUGCGUAACGCGUGGGAACCUGCCCUUAGGUUCGGAAUAACUCCCCGAAAGGGGUGCUAAUACCGGAUAAUGUCUUCGGACCAAAGAUUUAUCGCCUUCGAUGGGCCCGCGUUGGAUUAGCUAGUUGGUAGGGUAAAAGCCUACCAAGGCGACGAUCCAUAGCUGGUCUGAGAGGAUGAUCAGCCACACUGGGACUGAGACACGGCCCAGACUCCUACGGGAGGCAGCAGUGGGGAAUAUUGGACAAUGGGCGAAAGCCUGAUCCAGCAAUGCCGCGUGAGUGAUGAAGGCCUUAGGGUUGUAAAGCUCUUUUACCCGGGAUGAUAAUGACAGUACCGGGAGAAUAAGCUCCGGCUAACUCCGUG